AUGGAAAACCGCACUGUGUAUUCCUAUAUUCAGAGUCGAUACUAUAGGUCUCCUGAGGUUCUUCUUGGAUAUCAAUACACAACAGCUAUUGAUAUGUGGUCCUUUGGGUGCAUAGUGGCGGAAUUAUUUCUUGGAUUACCAUUAUUCCCCGGGGCUUCAGAAUUUGAUCUUUUGAAAAGGAUGAUUGAAAUAAUUGGGUAUGCUACUAUCUCUUGA